AUGCCUGGCGCCCGGGGCUGGGUUUUGGGGCCACGGCAGCGCCUCAAGUCCCGGCCUCACGGGGCUGGGGAAACGCCUCCUGUGCCAGGUUUGGGGUUUGUCCCGGGACAACACCUCGUGUGCCAGGUUUGGGGUUUGUCCCGGGACAACAGGUUUGGGGUUUCUCCUGGAGCAACACCUCCUGUGCCAGGUUUGGGGUUUGUCCUGGAGCAACAGGUUUGGGGUUUCUCCCAGGGCAACACCUUGUGUGUCAGGUUUGGAGUUUCUCACAGAAUAACACCUCGUGUGCCAGUUUUGGGGUUUCAUCCAGGACAACACCUCCUGUGCCAGGUUUGGGGUUUCAUCCAGGACAACACCUUCUGUGCCAGUUUUGGGGUUUCAUCCAGGACAACACCUUCUGUGCCAGUUUUGGGGUUUCAUCCAGGACAACACCUCCUGUGCCAGUUUUGGGGUUCCUCCCGGGGCGGCACCGCCCGUUCCAGGCGCCGCUCGGGCCCUACUUGGCGCCGUCCCCCAAAUCGUGGCGGUAGCGCAGGACCUGGAAGUUCAGCAAGGUGCCCAGCAGCGAGGGGUAGGAAGCGCCCACCCUACGGAACCCCACGCCCUCGUAGAGCCGCUGCGCCGCCACCUGCACCACGGAGGUGCUGAGCACCACGGCGCCGUAACCGCGGGCGCGGGCGAAGGCCAGCACCUCCCGGCACAGCGCCUGGGCCAACCCUCGGCCCCGGUGCUCCCGGCC
rnacentral:lncRNA from 1 species